CUCCCAAGGAGCGUUGCAGCGGCCCACCCGGAUGGGUGCCGUCAGGCUUGGGAACACCAACGACGCUCGCCUGAU
rnacentral:ncRNA from 2 species